AACGAACGCUGGCGGCGCGCCUAACACAUGCAAGUCGAACGAGGAAUCCGGGGCAACCCGGUAGUAAAGUGGCAAACGGGUGAGGAAUACAUGGGUAACCUACCCUUGAGAAGGGAAUAACCCGCCGAAAGGUGAGCUAAUACCCUAUACGCUAUCUUUUUUUCGAAAGGAUAGAAGCCGGUCGAGGACCUGGUACUCAAGGAGGGCGUCAUGUCCUAUCAGCUUGUUGGUGGGGUAACGGGACCUACCCAAGGCGUACGACGGGUAGCUGGUCUGAGAGGAUGAUCAGCCACACUGGCACUGAGAUACGGGCCGAGACUCCUACGGGAGGGCAGCAGUGAGGGAAUAUUGCGCAAUGGGCGAAAGCCUGACGCAGCGACGCCGCGUGGGGGA
rnacentral:rRNA from 1 species